rnacentral:lncRNA from 1 species
AAUGUGAUAGAUUUGUGGAGAUAUGCAUGUAAUUUCCAAUGACACGUGGGUGUUCCAUUCUGUGAUUUGAGCACAAUAUUGAUUUGUCCACUGCAAAAGGUUCAAUUGGAAAUAUGGUCCUUCAUGGGUGCUGUAUGUGAGUACAGUGUCUCGCUCAUAUGUGUUUGGAAAAUAUAGGAUGUAAUCUGGUGGAAAAUGGAAGAUCUGAGUUGGUUUCAAGGAAGGCCCGCAUUUUUCUUUCAGCAAGAUAUAUAUCUUGUACUGAAAGAGUUGGUGUUGAUGGAUUAAGCGGAGUGGUUAUAAGUGCAUUUUUUAGAUUUUGAUCUUUGUUGUAGAUUGUUUCAGUCAUUUCUACAAUAGAUACUUGCUCACUCUUGUUCACUCUGUGUUGUAGCUUACCACAUGAAAAAAAAAAUGCAUGUAAAUAGUUGUGGUUGAAGAAUUCAGAACAGUGUAGAUGUAUGUUACCAUGUCUUUUGCAGAGGCCUUUACUGCUUGAUGUAGGGCGAGCAGAGUAGUUUUCUGUAGCUGCACGGAAGUAGAGUUGGUACUCAGUACCGGUUCUGCUUGACGAAAAUAUGAUUAGUACCUCUAUGUGGACACUGC